GUUGGAGCUUCUGGUUUGCCUCACCAAAUGGACAACCUGGAGUCCAAGGCAACAAAUAUAUCGUUUAAUUGUGAACAUCUUAAGAAGGUCAAAAUCAGAUGUCCUCGGGGUGACAAAAGGGCACAAAAUAUUGUGAAUGCCAUACUAGCCAAUGCCAUCUCUCCCCCGGAAAUUGUAAUCGAUCAGCACACACCUUGGGAGUAGGAAGAUGUGCACGACUCUUGCCUUGUUACUGUGGAUUAGAGCUUCUGAUGGCAAGUGUUAGCUCCAGUCAACGUCGAAAGACUUCUUAAUGUUUCUGUUGUCCUUUGACCAUAUGGUUCAUGGGACCCUGAGUUCCUUUCUCGACGUGACCAUGAGGCCAGUAUGUUUUUAUCGCUAUUGUUCCUGUAACUGAUUCUGUAUAAGUAUUUCACUUUUCCAUUGAUGUAUGUGGAGAAACUUGAUAUUAAGGUUGUGUUUGGCAGUGUUCUUAA